rnacentral:rRNA from 1 species
UACAGAGGUGGCAAGCGUUGUUCGGAAUUACUGGGCGUAAAGCGUGCGCAGGCGGUUCGCCAAGUCAGGUGUGAAAUCCCCGGGCUUAACCUGGGAAUUGCGCGUGAAACUAGCGGGCUUGAGUGUGGCAGAGGGGGGUGGAAUUCCACGUGUAGCAGUGAAAUGCGUAGAGAUGUGGAGGAACACCGAUGGCGAAGGCAGCCCCCUGGGUCAACACUGACGCUCAUGCACGAAAGCGUGGGGAGCAAACAGG